rnacentral:rRNA from 1 species
AACGAACGCUGGCGGCAGGCCUAACACAUGCAAGUCGAACGCGCGUAGCAAUACGCGAGUGGCGCACGGGUGAGUAGCACGUGGGAAUCAACCCUGAGGUUCGGAAUAACCGCGGGAAACUGCGGCUAAUACCGGAUGUCCCCUAUGGGGGAAAGAUUUAUCGCCUUGGGACGAGCCCGCGUCCGAUUAGCUAGUUGGUGAGGUAACGGCUCACCAAGGCGACGACGGGUAGCCGGCCUGAGAGGGCGACCGGCCACACUGGGACUGAGACACGGCCCAGACUCCUACGGGAGGCAGCAGUGGGGAAUCUUGCGCAAUGGGCGAAAGCCUGACGCAGCGACGCCGCGUGAGGGAUGACGGCCUGGUUG